CCUACGGGAGGCAGCAGUGAGGAAUAUUGGUCAAUGGGCGGAAGCCUGAACCAGCCAAGUCGCGUGAGGGAGUAAGGCCCUACGGGUCGUAAACCUCUUUUGCCGGGGAGCAGUGCCCAGCUCGUGAGCUGGGAGGGAGCGUACCCGGAGAAAAAGCAUCGGCUAACUCCGUGCCAGCAGCCGCGGUAAUACGGAGGAUGCGAGCGUUAUCCGGAGUUAUUGGGUUUACAGGGUGCGGAGGCGGGCCUUCAGGCCGGCGGUAAAAUUGCGGGGCUCACCCCCGCCGAGCCGUCGGACCCGGGGGCCUUGAGUACCGGAGAAGGACGCGGAAUGCGUGGUGUAGCGGUGAAAUGCAUAGAGAUCACGCAGAACCCCGAUGGCGAAGGCAGCGUACCGGCCGGUCACUGACGCUGAGGCACGAAAGCGCGGGUAGCGAACAGGAUUAGAUACCCUAGUAGUC
rnacentral:rRNA from 1 species